UUGCUGAAAAUUUACUUAAAUUAGGUUUGUCAUAUUUCAAGAGUACCCAGAUAUUUACACAAGAAACUAGGCCAAAAUACUUGGUAAGAUUUUUCCAAAGAGAAAUUAAAUAAAUGUAAUUAUUCCGUCCUCAGCUCCACUGCAGGAUUUCG